rnacentral:rRNA from 1 species
GACGAACGCUGGCGGCGUGCUUAACACAUGCAAGUCGAACGGAAAGGCCCUGCUUUUGUGGGGUGCUCGAGUGGCGAACGGGUGAGUAACACGUGAGUAACCUGCCCUUGACUUUGGGAUAACUUCAGGAAACUGGGGCUAAUACCGGAUAGGAGCUCCUGCUGCAUGGUGGGGGUUGGAAAGUUUCGGCGGUUGGGGAUGGACUCGCGGCUUAUCAGCUUGUUGGUGGGGUAGUGGCUUACCAAGGCUUUGACGGGUAGCCGGCCUGAGAGGGUGACCGGCCACAUUGGGACUGAGAUAGGGCCCAGACUCUACGGGAGGCAGCAGUGGGGAAUAUUGCACAAUGGGCGGAAGCCUGAUGCAGCAACGCCGCGUGCGGGAUGACGGCCUUCGGGUUGUAAACCGCUUUCGCCUGUGACGAAGCGUGAGUGACGGUAAUGGGUAAAGAAGCACCGGCUAACUACGUG